rnacentral:rRNA from 1 species
CAAUAGCGUAUAUUAAAGUUGUUGCAGUUAAAAAGCUCGUAGUUGGAUUUGUGGCGUACGGUGUGUUCCGGGCACUUGUUGUCUGAGUAACCUGCUGUUGCCAUCCUUGGGUGGAACCUGUGUGGCAUUAGGUUGUCGUGCAGGGGAUGCCCAUCAUUUACUGUGAAAAAAUUAGAGUGUUCAAAGCAGGCUUAUGCCGUUGAAUAUAUUAGCAUGGAAUAAUGAGAUAGGACUUUUUUGCUAUUUUGUUGGUUUGCGCAAAGAGGUAAUGAUUAAUAGGGACAGUUGGGGUUAUUCGUAUUCCAUUGUCAGAGGUGAAAUUCUUGGAUUUUUGGAAGACGAACUACUGCGAAAGCAUUUACCAAGGAUGUUUUCAUUAA